rnacentral:rRNA from 1 species
GCGCUUGAGAGAACUCGGGUGAAGGAACUAGGCAAAAUGGUACCGUAACUUCGGGAGAAGGUACGCUCCUAGCGGUGAUGAGACUUGCUCUCUAAGCUGCCGGGAGUCGCAGAUACCAGGUGGCUGCAACUGUUUAUUAAAAACACAGCACUGUGCAAAAUCGAAAGAUGACGUAUACGGUGUGACGCCUGCCCGGUGCCGGAAGGUUAAUUGAUGGGGUUAGACUUCGGUCGAAGCUCUUGAUCGAAGCCCCGGUAAACGGCGGCCGUAACUAUAACGGUCCUAAGGUAGCGAAAUUCCUUGUCGGGUAAGUUCCGACCUGCACGAAUGGCGUAAUGAUGGCCACGCUGUCUCCACCCGAGACUCAGUGAAAUUGAAAUCGCAGUGAAGAUGCUGCGUCCCCGCGGCUAGACGGAAAGACCCCGUGAACCUUUACUAUAGCUUGGCACUGAACAUUGACCCUACAUGUGUAGGAUAGGUGGGAGACGUUGAAGCAACCGCGCCAGUGGUUGUGGAGUCAAUCUUGAAAUACCACCCUUGUAUGCUUGAUGUUCUAACGUUGGCCCCUUAUCGGGGUUACGGACAGUGCCUGGUGGGUAGUUUGACUGGGGCGGUCUCCUCCCAAAGAGUAACGGAGGAGCACGAAGGUGGGCUAAUCACGGUCGGACAUCGUGAGGUUAGUGCAAUGGCAUAAGCCCGCUUGACUGCGAGAAUGACAAUUCGAGCAGGUGCGAAAGCAGGUCAUAGUGAUCCGGUGGUUCUGAAUGGAAGGGCCAUCGCUCAACGGAUAAAAGGUACUCCGGGGAUAACAGGCUGAUACCGCCCAAGAGUUCAUAUCGACGGCGGUGUUUGGCACCUCGAUGUCGGCUCAUCACAUCCUGGGGCUGAAGUCGGUCCCAAGGGUAUGGCUGUUCGCCAUUUAAAGUGGUACGCGAGCUGGGUUUAGAACGUCGUGAGACAGUUCGGUCCCUAUCUGCCGUGGGCGUUGGAUGAUUGAGAGGGGCUGCUCCUAGUACGAGAGGACCGGAGUGGACGAACCGCUGGUGUUCGGGUUGUGUCGCCAGACGCAUUGCCCGGUAGCUAAGUUCGGAAUCGAUAACCGCUGAAAGCAUCUAAGCGGGAAGCGAGCCUCAAGAUGAGUCAUCCCUAGACCUUUAAGGUCUCUAAAGGGUUGUUGAAGACUACAACGUUGAUAGGUCGGGUGUGUAAGUGCUGCGAGGCAUUGAGCUAACCGAUACUAAUUGCCCGUGAGGCUUAACCAUACAACACCCAAGGGGUUU